GACGAACGCUGGCGGCGUGCUUAACACAUGCUAGUCGAACGAAGUGGCGAACGGGUGAGUAACGCGUAAUCAACCUGCCCUUCAGAGGGGGACAAAAGUUGGAAACGAAUGCUAAUACCGCAUACUGAAGGAGGGGAUUGCGUAUGAUUAGCUAGUUGGAGGGGUAACGGCCCACCAAGCGGAUGCUCCGUAGCCGGUCGUGGAGGGUGAACGGCCACAUUGGGAAUGAGAAACGGCCCAGAAUCCUACGGGAGGCAGCAGUGGGGAAUCUUCCGCAAUGGACGAAAGUCUGACGGAGCAACGCCGCGGGGGUGAUGACGGCCUUCGGGUUGUAAAGCUCUGUUAAUCGGGACGCGGUACCGGAAUAGAAAGCCACGGCUAACUACGUGCCAGCCGCCGCGGUAAUUC
rnacentral:rRNA from 1 species